GCCGAUAGCUCAGUGGCAGAGCGGUGGGGCGUUUACCCAUGCGGCCCGGGUUCGAUUCCCGGUCGAUGUA